ACUCCUACGGGAGGCAGCAGUAGGGAAUCUUCCGCAAUGGACGAAAGUCUGACGGAGCAACGCCGCGUGAGUGAAGAAGGUUUUCGGAUCGUAAAACUCUGUUGUAAGGGAAGAACAAGUACGUUAGUAACUGAACGUACCUUGACGGUACCUUA
rnacentral:rRNA from 1 species